GGCUCAGGAUGAACGCUAGCGGCAGGCUUAAUACAUGCAAGUCGUGGGGCAGCAUGAGUAGCAAUACUUGAUGGCGACCGGCAAACGGGUGAGGAACACGUACACAACCUUCCUUCAAGCGGGGAAUAGCCCAGAGAAAAUUUGGAUUAAAUACCCCAUAAUAUAUUUGAUAAGGCAUCUUAUUAAUAUUAAAAGCUUCGGCACUUGAUGAUGGGUGUGCGGCUGAUUAGAUAGUUGGCGGGGUAACGGCCCACCAAGUCUACGAUCAGUAGCUGAUGUGAGAGCAUGAUCAGCCACACGGGCACUGAGACACGGGCCCGACUCCUACGGGAGGCAGCAGUAAGGAAUAUUGGACAAUAGACGAAAGUCUGAUCCAGCCAUGCCGCGUGAAGGAUUAAGGUCCUCUGGAUUGUAAACUUCUUUAUAUGGGACGAAAAAGGGCAUUCUUGUUCACUUGACGGUACCAUAUGAAUAAGCACCGGCUAACUCCGUG
rnacentral:rRNA from 1 species